CCUGUAUCCUCUCCUAGUGGGCAUUUUUACAAAGUAUGAGAAAGAACAGUCAGAAUCAGGCAGAAUCUGUAACAGAAUCAGGCUCUGACUGUCAUAAUUUCAAUGCUAUGUAGGUCAAUAAAUGGGAUUGUUUCAGUACAGACUGAAAAACGGUUUUAGCUGAGAAACAUCCCAGAGCAUCAGUCCAGAUGCCUCUGGUUGAGGGAGAGCCACUGUGGAUCAUGUUCACAGCACCUUUGCCAGUGGUGGCCUUUCCUGGGGGAGUUCACUCCUUUGAAGGUGUUCAGCAUCCAGAUCUGCUGGGAAGAGGAUGCGUAUUGUAAACUGUGGCUCUUCUGGAGUCCAUUUUCUUUGUUCUCAGAGUAGCCCUCUCCUCUUUCACCAGUGAACAAUUCCAGUGGUAACCCUGGUGCAAAUCAGAUCUCAUUUCAGUCUCAUUUUUUAAACUGUACUGGAACUGCCUUUUCCAGAUCUGCAUUAGUUCUUGCUCUAUUUUCAGUGCUGGUCCCGGGUGUCUAUGUCUGAAACUAUUUCCAGUUCUGAUUCAAUUUUCUAAUAGAGACAAGUCUAAAGAGUGGCUCUCACCAUAGUUUCAAUUUUUCUUUUCAAUGGUUAUGAAUAAAACAUAAUGUAAGGGGAAAAAAAAAAGCUUUUGUUGUCUACUUCUGAAGUGUACAAAGGGAACAUAGAAUAUUCUGUGUGACUUUAGUGCCUGAAAAAGUCACAGCAAGUCUUCUAGAAAAGUCAAAAGAGAGACAGCUAUCAGAUGAAGAAGUCAUGGUACACUAUCUUUUUCUACAGGUUCCUUACUUUAACCGACUCUGAUUUGCUAUAUGAGUAAGGUAAAAUUUGACUCAGGUGGAAGGCAACUUCAGUGACCACAGAGAAGGGCAAUGAGAUGCUGGACUGUACAGAUCGAGCAGAAAUGAAAAAGUUUCACUGUGGAGGAACUGAGAUAAAAAGUAUUAGAAGAAAACAUGUGAGUCACAGAAAAUGACAUUUGGACCAAUAAAUGAGGAGUGUGGGCAAAUUAACUGAAGACAUGUGGCACAAGUUCUGAAAUGAGAGCAACAAAAAAAGAAAGAUGAGAUGAGAGGGAUGCAGUGAAAAGAAGGAACUGAACAACAAUUGUGCUAGCUUUGGAAUGGGCUGCUAGCUAGUGGGAAAAAUACUGGAUGCAGCUGGAUAAAUUACUGCAUUUCGGAUGGAUUUUGCAGCUGGGAUGGAGACAUAAAGCUCUUGUCACCAGGACUCUUUCCCUUGAUUUAUAACCUGGUCACCCAUCUAUCUCUGAAUAUCACUUUCUCUGUAGUGUACAGUUCUGAAAUUGUGCCCCUCAAAACUGGGAAAGUCAUUAGAACAAUAAAGAAAAAUAUAGAGUUCUUUCA